GUCCCCUUAGCUUAACGGAUAAAGCACAAGCCUCCGGAGCUUGGGAUCGGGGUUCGAUUCCCCGAGGGGGCG
rnacentral:tRNA from 1 species